AUUAAGAAAAAAAAAAAACAAAAAAAAACCGGUUCUCGUCUGAUCACCGAAGUUAAGCCUGGUCGGGCGAAGUUAGUACUUGGAUGGGUGACCGCCUGGGAAUACUUCGUGUUGUAGACU
rnacentral:rRNA from 1 species